GGGGAACUAGCUCAAAUGGUAGAGCGGGCGCUUCGCAUGCGUCAGGUACCGGGAUCAAUGCCCGGGUUCUCCA
rfam:Zancudomyces culisetae strain COL-18-3 scaffold-1548, whole genome shotgun sequence.